rnacentral:rRNA from 1 species
GACGUAGGAUGCGAGCGUUGUCCGGAUUUAUUGGGCGUAAAGAGUUCGUAGGCGGUUUGUUAAGUCUGAUGUUAAAGAACGAGGCUCAACCUCGGAGGUGCAUUGGAUACUGGCAGACUGGAGUGUGGUAGAGGCGAGCGGAAUUCCCAGUGUAGCGGUGAAAUGCGUAGAUAUUGGGAAGAACACCGGUGGCGCAAGCGGCUCGCUGGACCACCACUGACGCUGAGGAACGAAAGCUAGGGGAGCGAAUGGG